rnacentral:rRNA from 1 species
UACAGAGGGUGCGAGCGUUGUCCGGAAUCACUGGGCGUAAAGGGCGCGUAGGUGGCGGCCCAAGUCCAUGGUGAAAGCUCGAUGCUCAACAUCGAGUCGGCCACGGAUACUGGGUUGCUCGAGCACUGUAGGGGCAGAUGGAAUUCCGGGUGUAGCGGUGGAAUGCGUAGAGAUCCGGAAGAACGACCGGUGGCGAAGGCGGCCUGCUGGGCAGUUGCUGACACUGAGGCGCGACAGCGUGGGGAGCAAACAGG